rnacentral:rRNA from 1 species
UACGUAGGGUGCAAGCGUUAAUCGGAAUUACUGGGCGUAAAGCGUGCGCAGGCGGUUGUGCAAGACAGAUGUGAAAUCCCCGGGCCCAACCUGGGAAUUGCAUUUGUGACUGCACGGCUAGAGUGUGUCAGAGGGGGGUAGAAUUCCACGUGUAGCAGUGAAAUGCGUAGAGAUGUGGAGGAAUACCGAUGGCGAAGGCAGCCCCCUGGGAUAACACUGACGCUCAUGCACGAAAGCGUGGGGAGCAAACAGG